rnacentral:rRNA from 1 species
UACGAAGGGUGCUAGCGUUGUUCGGAAUUACUGGGCGUAAAGCGCGCGUAGGCGGCUUGUCAAGUCAGGGGUGAAAUCCCACAGCUCAACUGUGGAACUGCCUUUGAUACUGGAGAGCUCGAGUCCGGAAGAGGUGAGUGGAACUGCGAGUGUAGAGGUGAAAUUCGUAGAUAUUCGCAAGAACACCAGUGGCGAAGGCGGCUCACUGGUCCGGUACUGACGCUGAGGUGCGAAAGCGUGGGGAGCAAACAGG